rfam:Oryza nivara chromosome 6, whole genome shotgun sequence.
UUUAAGUACAAAUAUAAGUUUCCGUAUCCAACUUUGAUCGCUCAUUUUAUUUGAAAAAAAAUUUAUAAUUAGUAUUUUUGUUGUUAUGAGAUGAUAAAAUAUGAAUAGUACUUUAUACGUGUCUUAUGUUUUAAACUUUUUUUAAAAAAAAGUAAAUAAAAUAGAUAAUUAAAGUUGGAAACGUAAAAUAAUAGCGGGCACUGAAA